rnacentral:snRNA from 1 species
GUCUCUUUGGAGACAUCCGAUAAAAUUGGAACGGUACAGAGAAGAUUGGCAUGGCCCUUGGCAAGGAUGAUAGCACAAAUCGAGAAAUGGUCCAAAUUUUU